rnacentral:rRNA from 1 species
GACGAACGCUGGCGGCGUGCUUAACACAUGCAAGUCGAGCGAUGAAACUACUUCGGUAGUGAAUUAGCGGCGAACGGGUGAGGAACACGUGAGGAAUCUGCCUUCUACACUGGGAUAACUCCGGGAAACCGGGGCUAAUACCGGAUAUGAAACUUGGUGGCAUCACCGAGUUUGGAAAGUUUUUCGGUAGAAGAUGACCUCGCGGCCUAUCAGCUUGUUGGUGAGGUAAUGGCUCACCAAGGCGACGACGGGUAGCCGGCCUGAGAGGGCGACCGGCCACACUGGGACUGAGACACGGCCCAGACUCCUACGGGAGGCAGCAGUGGGGAAUAUUGGGCAAUGGAGGAAACUCUGACCCAGCGACGCCGCGUGCGGGAUGAAGGCCUCGGUGUAACCGCUUCAGUAGGAGAAGCGAAGUAGACGGUACCGUACAGAAGAAG